UACGUAGGGUGCGAGCGUUAAUCGGAAUUACUGGGCGUAAAGCGUGCGCAGGCGGUUCGUUAAGUCAGCUUUGAAAGCCCCGGGCUCAACCUGGGAAUUGCGGUUGAAACUGGCGAACUAGAAUCUGGCAGAGGGGGGUGGAAUUCCACGUGUAGCAGUGAAAUGCGUAGAGAUGUGGAGGAACACCGAUGGCGAAGGCAGCCCCCUGGGCUAACACUGACGCUCAUGCACGAAAGCGUGGGGAGCAAACAGG
rnacentral:rRNA from 1 species